UCUUCUUCUUCCUCCUCUCUCUCUCUCUCCGUCUAUCGUCUUCGCCGAAAUCCCUAAUUAAAUGAUUCCGACCACCAUCAAUUUCCCGCCAAAGAGAAUGUGGACGGUCGAGAAAUGAAGCUUCAUAGUGAAUUCCUAUCGGCGUAUAGCUGAGAGCUCUCUCGCAAAUCUCCGUCCUUUACCGGCAAGGUGCUAAGUAUACAGCAGCUACACAGAAUCAGUACAAUGUACUGGGAUGACAAUAUAUGGCACUCAUAGUGUCUCUUCGGAUCAAAUAUUGAGGGUUAUGAUGACAGAGGACUCGAACAAUGCCGUAAGCAGCUCUUUCCUUUUGGACGCUGACUCGAGGUAAGCAGAAAUAGAAUAUGUGUUCAGUUUCAUUUCUCAACUAACCCAAGGAAUCAAUGAAAAUGCUGCAUUCCAUUCCACGGUGGAAGACAUAUCAAAAUCAAUGCAACAAGUGGUUGUAAAUGACAUUGAAUCUCCUCAGCUGAACUGUGAAAACUCGGGUUUCGGAUUCUUACUCACACGUAAAGAAGGCAGUGCAUCGUAUAUUCCUCGGGGAGCUCGGUAUGGUCCCAUCAAAUACGAUUGUUUCCGCUGCAUAUACAUAAAUACAUCGUGUGAGCCACUGCAUUCCUAUGGGCGUUUUGUGUAUAUUAUAUUCUAUUCUUUCUUCUUCUUGAUUUGGGGGUUCAGUCUCUGGCCUUUGUAUUUGUGGAAAGGCCGAGUUUAUUUCAUUCUUUGCAUCCCUGUGGUUAUGGCAACUCGCAGGGGUUAUCUGUUUCCCAUUUGCUUUUUUUUUUUUCAUAGAAAGGCUUAGGUGUGUUUGAUGCUUUCCUGCCCAGAGAGGAGAGGAGAGUAAUAUUUUUGUUUUAGUCAAUCAUGUAUUUGUUGGUUUGGGUGAGUCUUUAUAACCAACCCUUUUGGGAAUUUGUAAAUUGUAAUGAAGGAACUAGAGUUUGUUAUCACUAUUAAA